rnacentral:rRNA from 1 species
GACGAACGCUGGCGGCGUGCUUAACACAUGCAAGUCGAGCGGUAAGGCCCUUUCGGGGGUACACGAGCGGCGAACGGGUGAGUAACACGUGGGUGACCUGCCCUCAGCUCUGGGAUAAGCCUGGGAAACCGGGUCUAAUACUGGAUAUGACUCCAUGACGCAUGUUGUGGGGUGGAAAGCCUUGUGCGGCUGAGGAUGGGCCCGCGGCCUAUCAGCUUGUUGGUGGGGUGAUGGCCUACCAAGGCGACGACGGGUAGCCGGCCUGAGAGGGCGACCGGCCACACUGGGACUGAGACACGGCCCAGACUCCUACGGGAGGGCAGCAGUGGGGAAUCUUGCGCAAUGGGCGAAAGCCUGACGCAGCGACGCCGCGUGAGGGAUGACGGCCUCGGUUGGUAA